rnacentral:rRNA from 1 species
GCCUAAAGGGGCCGUAGCCGGUUCGGUAAAUCUCUGGGUAAGUCGUUGGGCUUAACCCAACGAAUUCUGGGGAGACUGCCGAACUUGGGACCGGGAGAGGUCGGAGGUACUCCAGGGGUAGGGGUGAAAUCCUGUAAUCCUUGGGGGACCACCGGUGGCGAAGGCGUCCGACCAGAACGGGUCCGACGGUAAGGGACGAAGCCCUGGGUCGCGAACCGGAUUAGAUACCCGGGUAGUCCAGGGUGUAAACGCUGUGCGCUUGGUGUAGGGGGUCCCACGAGGGCAUCCUGUGCCGGAGAGAAGUUGUUAAGCGCACCGCCUGGGGAGUACGGUCGCAAGACUGAAACUUAAAGGAAUUGGCGGGGGAGCACAGCAACGGGAGGAGCGUGCGGUUUAAUUGGAUUCAGCGCCGGAAAACUCACCAGGGGCGACUGCCACAUGAAGAUCAAGCUGAUGACUUUAUCUGAUUGGUAGAGAGGUGGUGCAUGGCCGUCGUCAGUUCGUACCGUAGGGCGUUCUGUUAAGUCAGAUAACGAACGAGACCCUUGCCCUUAAUUGUCAUGUUUCCCUCCGGGGGAACGGUACUUUAAGGGGACCGCUGGUGCAAAAUCAGAGGAAGGGAAGGGCAACGGUAGGUCAGUAUGCCCCGAAUCCCCUGGGCAACACGCGCGCUACAAAGGCCAGGACAAAGGGUUCCGACACCGAGAGGUGAAGGCAAUCCCGAAACCUGUCCGUAGUUCGGAUCGAGGGCUGCAACCCGCCCUCGUGAAGCUGGAUUCCGUAGUAAUCGCAGAUCAACAUCCUGCGGUGAAUAUGCCCCUGCUCCUUGUACCCACCGCCCGU